GUGUAGAAUUUAUUUUAAGCAAUUGUCAAAAAAGACAUACAUCAUUUUUUGACAUAAUCACUCGAUUUCUGUAUACACUUUGUCCAUUUGCCGAAGGACCUUUGUAUUUUCUCAUUAAAAAAUGUUUUGGGCUGAGCUGCGAACCACGAAUGCAUCGUCGUCUUCACCUUUUCAUCAGCUUUUUCGGCAUCCAUCUCGCACAAACUUUUUAAAAUCCAAAUCUGUCGUGCACUAUUGCAUAAGCAGAGCCGUGGCUGAUUUGCAAAUGAUUUGCCACAUUAUCCAGUGUCACUCGUCUAUUCCAUAGAGCAUAAGUUCAUGAGCACGUUCAACGUUGUCAUCGUGGAUGUGGACGGGCGUCCAGCUGUUUUUUCAUAACACUUGUGCGAUCUUCUUUGAACUUUUGUGCCCAUUCAAACACACUUCGUGACAAAACACUUUCUCCAUAAUGUGCAUUAAAUCUUUGAUAAAUAUAGGCAUCAAACAUAACCUCCGACCACAAGAAACGAAUCACAGCAUCCUGCACUGUUUUCCUGCAAAUCACCAUUGCAAAGCGCCAUUACUCGCGCAACGGUCACAAACGAAUUGACGUAACACAAAGAAACCUGCGCAGCAGCACUGAACAGAUAUUGACGUCAUACGAAGAGUGCAGAUGGAUCAAUACGGUCGACAGAAGUUUUAACUAUCUGGAGUGCGGAUAAAUUUUUACUGAGAGUCGUAUAGGAAUCUAUAAUCUAGUACUUUCCAAAAUACGCCGAGAGUAUUCCUGAUGGUGAAACGAGCGUUGCUUCAUCGAACGCAGCUAAAGAAAACAACAUCUAUGUAGUUGGUGGUACGAUGCCUGAAAUAGAGGGCGCUAAAUUGUACAAUACCUGUACUAUUUGGGGUCCCGAUGGAACUUUGAUAGCAAAACACCGAAGGUACAUCUAUUCGACAUCGACAUUCCUAAUAAGAUUACUUUUCGAGAGAGUGAUUCACUCAGUCCUGGUAACUCCCUAACGACGUUCGAUGUGAAGGGCUGCAAAAUAGGUAUUGGCAUUUGCUAUGAUAUUAGAUUCGAGGAAAUGGCACGCAUUUAUCGGAACAAAGUACAGUAACUUAAUCGAUCAAUACUUAACUAGCAAAAAAUUAAAUAUCUUUCUUAAAUAU